rnacentral:rRNA from 1 species
UACGAAGGGGGCUAGCGUUGUUCGGAAUUACUGGGCGUAAAGGGCGCGUAGGCGGCCCUAUCAGUCAGGCGUGAAAGCCCUGGGCUCAACCUGGGAACUGCGCUUGAUACUGUAGGGCUUGAGGACGGGAGAGGAUGGUGGAAUUCCCAGUGUAGAGGUGAAAUUCGUAGAUAUUGGGAAGAACACCGGUGGCGAAGGCGACCAUCUGGACCGGACCUGACGCUGAGGCGCGAAAGCGUGGGGAGCAAACAGG